AGAGUUUGAUCAUGGCUCAGAUUGAACGCUGGCGGAAUGCUUUACACAUGCAAGUCGAACGGCAGCACGGGGCAACCUGGUGGCGAGUGGCGAACGGGUGAGUAAUAUAUCGGAACGUGCCCAAUCGUGGGGGAUAACGUAGCGAAAGUUACGCUAAUACCGCAUACGAUCUACGGAUGAAAGCGGGGGAUCGCAAGACCUCGCGCGAAUGGAGCGGCCGAUAUCAGAUUAGGUAGUUGGUGGGGUAAAGGCUCACCAAGCCAACGAUCUGUAGCUGGUCUGAGAGGACGACCAGCCACACUGGAACUGAGACACGGUCCAGACUCCUACGGGAGGCAGCAGUGGGGAAUUUUGGACAAUGGGCGCAAGCCUGAUCCAGCCAUUCCGCGUGCAGGAUGAAGGCCUUCGGGUUGUAAACUGCUUUGUACGGAACGAAACGGUCUGCCCUAAUACGGCAGGCUAAUGACGGUACCGUAAGAAUAAGCACCGGCUAACUACGUG
rnacentral:rRNA from 1 species